CAAAAUAAGAUAUUCCCCCUUUAAAAAAAAAAAAAAGACAGAAUCCGUUGUCAUUCAUGCUAAAAAGGCAUUACAGACUGUCGACACUGUACAGAAAAAUAGGAGAUGUUGACCUUUUUAUUAUAGACUUUUCUCUGCUGUUGCCCUCCUUUCAACUGCACAUGGCUUCCCCCAGAUCCCCCGCCCGCCCUGGGCUCAUGCAUGCUGUCUUCAGCUGUAUGUUAUCUCAAAUAAUUACCCUCGCUUCUGGCUGUCCCUGGCGACUUCUGCUGCUAAAAAAGCUACUCAUUGUCGGAGACUGAAGAGGGAUUUCCAGCCUGCUUCUUGUGGCCGGGCAACGGCUCUUAAUUAACCACUCAGGUAUUGUGGGAGCUCCCAGCCCGGCUCGCUUCCAUAUGGCGCGAACAUGUCCGCAGUGAUAAGCACGGGAGGAAAUACUGUAUCAAAAGGGAGCUCGCACAACCGAAAGCUUGUGCAAAUUAUUUUUAAUGAUUCUUCUCUGAAAUGCAGACUGCCCAAUGGGAUGGAGUUUCCAGUGUGAUGUCAUUGGAAACAUUGCUCCUCAGAGCAGUGAAAUUAGCCCGAUAGAAAAAGAACACAGAGCCUCACUUUCCAAUCAGCCCAGAACAAUGGUGCGUCCAACUGCAAAAUGAACCAGAACACAAAAAGAAAAAUAAACCCUCGUCGGUCACAAGAAAAAAAAAAGGGAAAGAAAAUUUAUGACUAAACCCUAUUUUAAAAAAGGAACAAAAGGCAGAAGGCCUUCCUCCAUUCCCCACAGUGCAUUGCACAUACCCAGGUGCCCUCCCCAAGGCUUGCAGAUAGGACUGCCAGCAGAUCUGCUGAGUUAUAUAUGGUGACAGUGGCUCCCUGUUAGCUGAUGCAUUUUGUGAACUGUAGUUCUCUCUCUCUCUCUCUCUCUCUCUCUCUCUCUCUCUCUCUCUCUCUCUCUCUCUCUCUUUCCUGCUUCCUAUGCAUAACAAAUCCUUUGGUGUCUGAGCAUCUCUCAGCUUGAGGGAGACCCAGGUUCGCUGCACAUUUCUCCAGGGGUUUGCCCCCAGCGCCUUUUUCCUUCACCAUGUGUCUUGGGGAGGAUGUCGUUGUGUACAUUAGCAAGGUGAAGCUUAGCACCCUCUGGGCCACUGCUGGCAUAGGAAACAAGGAGCCGACCAGCCAAGGAUAAUACAGGCCUCAGCACUUCCUAGGCUGCCUGCCCCGAUCCUUCUCAGCCCGGUUGUUAUCUUUAGGAAGUGCAAGGUGGAGGAGAGGGAAAUCUUAUCUGGCUCCCAUCCCAGUUAUAAGAUGCAAAGCCCCUCCUGUACACCUUGGGAACAUUGUCACGUCGGGGUCAAAUCUCGCUCAAACGGACUCCAGUGACUGAAGGGGCCUGUGACCUACAUUGUUCUCCAUGUCCUUUGUGGCAUAAAACAGACUCAGCUGAUUUCUUUCAAAGCUCAUGUUACCACAUUUUUCGAGAGUGUGGAGCAUCAACUCUCUCUUCAUAAUGUGUGCUUCCUCUUGCAUUUAUUCACUAAUGCACAUUUCAUUUAUUUUAAACACACGCACACGCACACACACACACACACACACACACACACACACACACACGCUCGCCCUUUCCUUUCAGAACAUUCUGGAAGCAACUUGCCCAAGUACACCCUGUCAGUCCAUUUCCCAGUGGAAGAAUUUCCGCAAGCUGGGAUCUGAGAGACUGUGGACUGACCCGGAGUUGCCCUAUUAAAUGCAUUUGCGUCUUGGAGCUGAAGAAUAUUUGCUGAAAGCUGGAUUACCACUUGGUAGGCCACCAGCAGCUGUUGAAAAGCAGGGCAUAAAAGCUUGUUUAUGUCUUUAAUGGCCCACUUAAUUGAUGAAGCAAGUAUGUUCUUCAUAAUAAAAUACCAAGGAAUAAUCUUAAUACCCCAAUGUAUGCUGCUAGUGAAUUAAGAAACAUCUGCUGUAAUGUAAAAGAACGUUUUAUUUGGGGUCUUCA